rnacentral:rRNA from 1 species
UACGUAGGGUGCGAGCGUUGUCCGGAAUUAUUGGGCGUAAAGGGCUCGUAGGCGGUUUGUCACGUCAGGAGUGAAAACUCGGGGCUCAACCCCGAGCCUGCUUCUGAUACGGGCAGACUAGAGGUAUGCAGGGGAGAACGGAAUUCCUGGUGUAGCGGUGAAAUGCGCAGAUAUCAGGAGGAACACCAAUGGCGAAGGCAGCACUCUGGGACGUGACUGACGCUGAGACGCGAAAGCGUGGGGAGCAAACAGG